AUUGAACGCUGGCGGCAGGCCUAACACAUGCAAGUCGAGCGGAUGACGGGAGCUUGCUCCUUGAUUCAGCGGCGGACGGGUGAGUAAUGCCUAGGAAUCUGCCUGGUAGUGGGGGACGACGUUUCGAAAGGAACGCUAAUACCGCAUACGUCCUACGGGCGAACGCAGGGGACCUUCAGGACUUGCGCUAUCAGAUGAGCCUCGGUCGGAUUAGCUAGUUGGUGGGGUAAUGGCUCACCAAGGCGACGAUCAGUAACUGGUCGGAGAGGAUGAUCAGUCACACUGGAACUGAGACACGGUCCAGACUCCUACGGGGGGCAGCAGUGGGGAAUAUUGGACAAUGGGCGAAAGCCUGAUCCAGCCAUGCCGCGUGUGUGAAGAAGGUCUUCGGAUUGUAAAGCACUUUAAGUUGGGAGGAAGGGCAGUAAGUUAAUACCUUGCUGUUUUGACGUUACCGACAGAAUAAGCACCGGCUAACUCUGUGCCAGCCGCCGCCGUAA
rnacentral:rRNA from 1 species